UACGAAGGGGGCGAGCGUUGUUCGGAAUUACUGGGCGUAAAGAGCGCGCAGGCGGUCGUACAAGUCGCGUGUGAAAGCCCCUGGCUCAACUGGGGAGGGUCACGCGAUACUGUUCGACUUGAAGGCAGGAGAGGGAAGUGGAAUUCCCGGUGUAGUGGUGAAAUGCGUAGAUAUCGGGAGGAACACCAGUGGCGAAGGCGACUUCCUGGCCUGUUCUUGACGCUGAGGCGCGAAAGCUAGGGUAGCAAACGGG
rnacentral:rRNA from 1 species